rnacentral:rRNA from 1 species
AGAAUCAACGCUGGCGGCGUGCCUAACACAUGCAAGUCGAACGAGAAAGUGGAGCAAUCCAUGAGUAAAGUGGCGCACGGGUGAGUAACACGUGACUAACCUACCCUUGAGUGGGGAAUAACCUCGGGAAACCGGGCUAAUACCGCAUAACACCUACGGGUCAAAGCAGCAAUGCGCUUGGGGAGGAGGUCGCGGCCGAUUAGCUAGUUGGCGGGGUAAUGGCCCACCAAGGCGAUGAUCGGUAUCC